rnacentral:rRNA from 1 species
AGUGAACGCUGGCGGUAGGCCUAACACAUGCAAGUCGAACGGCAGCACAGUAAGAGCUUGCUCUUACGGGUGGCGAGUGGCGGACGGGUGAGGAAUACAUCGGAAUCUACUUUUUCGUGGGGGAUAACGUAGGGAAACUUACGCUAAUACCGCAUACGACCUACGGGUGAAAGCAGGGGAUCUUCGGACCUUGCGCGAUUGAAUGAGCCGAUGUCGGGUUAGCUAGUUGGCGGGGUAAAGGCCCACCAAGGCGACGAUCCGUAGCUGGUCUGAGAGGAUGAUCAGCCACACUGGAACUGAGACACGGUCCAGACUCCUACGGGAGGUAGCAGUGGGGAAUAUUGGACAAUGGGCGCAAGCCUGAUCCAGCCAUACCGCGUGGGUGAAGAAGGCCUUCGGGUUGUAAAGCCCUUUUGUUGGGAAAGAAAAGCAGCAGGUUAAUACCCCGCUGUUCUGACGGUACCCAAAGAAUAAGCACCGGCUAACUUCGUG